AUUGAACGCUGGCGGCAUGCCUUACACAUGCAAGUCGAACGGCAGCACGGGUGCUUGCACCUGGUGGCGAGUGGCGAACGGGUGAGUAAUACAUCGGAACAUGUCCUGUAGUGGGGGAUAGCCCGGCGAAAGCCGGAUUAAUACCGCAUACGAUCUACGGAUGAAAGCGGGGGACCUUCGGGCCUCGCGCUAUCGGGUUGGCCGAUGGCUGAUUAGCUAGUUGGUGGGGUAAAGGCCUACCAAGGCGACGAUCAGUAGCUGGUCUGAGUGGACGACCAGCCACACUGGGACUGAGACACGGCCCAGACUCCUACGGGAGGCAGCAGUGGGGAAUUUUGGACAAUGGGCGAAAGCCUGAUCCAGCAAUGCCGCGUGUGUGAAGAAGGCCUUCGGGUUGUAAAGCACUUUUGUCCGGAAAGAAAUCCUUGGCCCUAAUACGGUCGGGGGAUGACGGUACCGGAAGAAUAAGCACCGGCUAACUACGUG
rnacentral:rRNA from 1 species